rnacentral:rRNA from 1 species
GUAGGUGGCAAGCGUUGUCCGGAAUUAUUGGGCGUAAAGCGCGCGCAGGCGGUUCUUUAAGUCUGAUGUGAAAGCCCACGGCUCAACCGUGGAGGGUCAUUGGAAACUGGAAAACUUGAGUACAGAAGAGGAAAGCGGAAUUCCACGUGUAGCGGUGAAAUGCGUAGAGAUGUGGAGGAACACCAGUGGCGAAGGCGGCUUUCUGGUCUGUAACUGACGCUGAGGCGCGAAAGCGUGGGGAGCAAACAGGGAUUAGAUACCCUGGUAGUCCACGCCGUAAACGAUGAGUGCUAAGUGUUAGGGGGUUUCCCGCCCCCUUAGUGCUGCAGCUAACGCAUUAAGCACUCCGCCUGGGGAGUACGGCCCGCAAGGCUG